AAGUGAGUAAUGAUCUUGGAAGGUUAAGUAGAUAAUAUGAUUGUGAAAACCUAUUAAAUCCAAUUAUUAUUAUUUUUUUUCUGUGACCAUGAAACACAAUCUCUAAAAGCUGAGAUUGUGCAACUCCCUGGAAGGCUCAUGGCUCAGCUCAGCAUUCAUCUAAUGAAAACAAAACCAAAAAUAAAACACAAGUGAUCCAUGAGGCUGGCUCUUUGAGCCUCAUUGCCUGUAAUUGUAAACAUCUGAACUUCAGGAUUUUCAGGAAAUGUUCCGCCCUGCAAGAUGUGUGGAAAGUCAAGAGGAGCCCAGCCCAAAGGUUGUUUUUGACUGGUGACUCUUCAUGCUACUUGUCAUGAUUAUGCCUACCCAGGUAAGAGAGGUACUCCUUUCUGCCUGGAAAAGUUCCUAUGUAGCCUGGAAGAGCAAAUCGCUGUUGAAGUUCAGCAUUUCUGGAGGUCUCGUUGGCUGACUGAGAUCCGUGGAGAUUCAUCAUGGCAUUCCAGGUCUCUGUCAGGGAUUGCUCUUCGUGAGGAGGCGAUGCUGACCCGUGUUGGCUCUGUCAUUAUGUGGACCUGGGUGUUGUUCUUAGUGGCAGAUGCACUCGAUACCAACGAAAGGAUCUGGGCUCGUACGUGCACAAGUCUCAAGAGGCCAGGCCAGCGUGGCAAAUGAAGGAAGCCUUCUGACCGAGAUGGUGAUGCACAAAUGACCCAUCCCAAGCAUCAGUGACUGCUCAAGGCUGUUCAAAGGCUAUGAAGAAAGCGAUUUAGUUUGCCAAAUAUUGCAACCUUUUGAAAGAAACUCUAAAGCUGGAUUUUUAUGAAAAAUCUGAUUUUCGAAUGUUGGCAAUGAAUUAAAAUUUUUAUUAAACAGCCAGUGCGCCAAAUUCAGCCUGUGCCAGCCAGUUUGAAUCCUUUCUGGAUUUUUAGAGUUUUAUUCCUGCAUCAAGCUAGCUCACCAGAAAGCAACAUACCAAAGCUAUAUUAGCUUGACAUCUUAUAGAAAUACUCAUUGAGCUUUGUUUGAAUAGGCUGUCCUUGCCUUCUAUCAAUGUCUAUUUUCUAUGCAACAUUUCUUAUAUAAAGAUACACACAGCAAAUUUCUACUAGAGAUCAGUAGGAAAAAGAAGUCUGUCUUUCCAAACAAACUUGUGUGCUUCCUUUCAUCAGAUAAUUAGAACUGUGUGCCUCAUUAUGUUUCCUCACUUGGCUUGACGUCUAAGCUCAUAGUUAAAUAGGGUGCUCAUACAGACUCCGUGUUUCUGGUAUCAGGAACUUUCACUUUUGUCUAAUUCCAAAGAGUUUCUAAGUUUUACUUUAUAAGUCUGUAACUUACCUGCUUCUCACAUGGCUUCUUACUAUUAAGAGAUCAAAAUCUUUUUUGGGAUAUAUGCAACAUGUGUAUGUCACGUAUAUUACACAACAGACCAUGUUUUAUAUGACAUAUGACAUAUUAGUGACUCAAUACUCUUUUUACUGCUUCAUACCACUUUUCUACUUUGUUUCUUAAAAAAUAAGUGCAAUAAAAUGUUAAAGAGUAAAUACUUUGCCCA
rnacentral:lncRNA from 1 species